rnacentral:misc_RNA from 1 species
AAGUCGUAACAAGGUUUCCGUAGGUGAACCUGCGGAAGGAUCAUUUACAGUGAGUUCAUGACCCUUCACGGGGUUAGGAUCUCCCCCAUCCCAUUGUAUACGCAUUAAUUUCUAUCUGUUGCUUUGGCCUGGGGCCCGCGAUGCCUCGCUCCCUGGGUUCUGCCCGGCGUGCCCGCCAGAGGGAAACCAUAAACUCUUGGAAGUGUUAGUGUCGUCGAGUACUUAUAAUAGUUAAAC